CACACUCCCUUCCACACUCACCCGCCGGCCUCCACUCCAAACCACACCAUCUCACCAUUAUUUUUCCAACAAGAUCACCGGAAAAAUAUUUAGGAACUCCAAAGCAUCUUCAUCAUUUUAUUUAAGUGUGCAGCUUCCUUUUCUCCACCGAAGAGCCCCAAAUGAAGUUUCUGCUAGUUUUGUCUAAAGCAUCAAUAAUUUUCCCAAGGAGCAUGACACCUUGCAUCACACAAGCAAAUUAUUAUGGUUGCUUGUGCGGAUUAUGAGCUUCCUUUAUAGGGCAUUGAUGGCUAGGACUAUUACUGCUGGAAUUCAGCAUCAAGUGUGGCUAUGGUACAGACUGUUACUGUUGGAGUUCAACAUCAGGUACAACUAGGAAGUGCAGACUGUUACUAUUGGAGAUCAACAUCUGGUGCAAGUUGUUA